GACGAACGCUGGCGGCGUGCCUAAUACAUGCAAGUAGGACGCAGUUUCGAACGGGUGAGUAACGCGUGGGUACCUACCUAUUACAGGGGGAUAACUAUCGGAAACGAUAGCUAAUACCGCAUACUCGUAGAUGGAUCUGCGUUGUAUUCGUUAGUAGGUUGGGUAAAGGCCUACCAAGGCGACGAUCCGUAACUGGUCUGAGAGGAUGAUCAGCCACACUGGAACUGAGACACGGUCCAGACUCCUACGGGAGGCAGCAGUGGGGAAUAGUGGACAAUGGGCGAAAGCCUGAGCAAGCAAGGCCGCGUGUGUGAAGAAGGUCUUCGGAUUGUAAAGCACUGUAAGUUGGGAGGCGUUACCAACAGAAUAAGCAACGGCUAACUUCGUGCCAGCCGCCGCGGUAAUAC
rnacentral:rRNA from 1 species